UACGUAGGGUGCAAGCGUUGUCCGGAAUUAUUGGGCGUAAAGGGCUCGUAGGCGGUCCGUCACGUCGGGAGUGAAAUCCUGGGGCUUAACCCCAGAACUGCUUCCGAUACGGGCAGACUAGAGGUAGGUAGGGGAGAAUGGAAUUCCUGGUGUAGCGGUGGAAUGCGCAGAUAUCAGGAGGAACACCAGUGGCGAAGGCGGUUCUCUGGGCAUGACCUGACGCUGAGGAGCGAAAGUGUGGGGAGCGAACAGG
rnacentral:rRNA from 1 species